GGGAGUGUAGCCCAAUCGGCAGAGGCAGCAGACUUAAAAUCUGCACAGUGUGGGUUCGAAUCCCACCACUCCUA
rnacentral:tRNA from 1 species